rnacentral:misc_RNA from 1 species
GUGAGUCAUCGAAUCUUUGAACGCAUCUUGCGCUCCUUGGUAUUCCGAGGAGCAUGCCUGUUUGAGUGUCGUGAAAUACUCUCAAUUUCAAUUCUUUUUUGGUUGAAAUUGGAUUUGGGUGUUUGUUGUGGUUUGCCUACAACUCAUCCUAAAUGCAUUAGCGAUCUACUUUCGAUCACACACAAUGUGAUAAAUACAAGCAUUGUUAGGAUCAAGUCAGGAUGGCUUCUAAUUGUCCUUUGGGACAGACUCUUAAUGUCAUUUGACCUCAGAUCAGGCAGGACUACCCGCUGAACUUAAGCAUAUCAAUAAGCGGAGGA